rnacentral:rRNA from 1 species
GACGAACGCUGGCGGCGUGCUUAACACAUGCAAGUCGAACGGAAAGGCCCUGCUUUUGUGGGGUGCUCGAGUGGCGAACGGGUGAGUAACACGUGAGUAACCUGCCCUUGACUUUGGGAUAACUUCAGGAAACUGGGGCUAAUACCGGAUAGGAGCUCCUGCUGCAUGGUGGGGGUUGGAAAGUUUCGGCGGUUGGGGAUGGACUCGCGGCUUAUCAGCUUGUUGGUGGGGUAGUGGCUUACCAAGGCUGUGACGGGUAGCCGGCCUGAGAGGGUGACCGGCCACAGUGGGACUGAGAUGCGACCCAGACCCGAACCGGAGGCGAGAGUGGGGAAUGGUGCACAGUGGGCGGGGGGCAGAUGCGGCAACGCCGCGUGGGGGGUGAGGGGCUGCGGGUUGUGAACCGCAUUCGCCUGUGACGGGGCGUGAGUGACGGUAAUGGGUAAAGAAGCACCGGCUAACUACGUG